UCUAUAAUGCAGUCGAGCGGACCGACGGGAGCUUGCUCCCUUAGGUCAGCGGCGGACGGGUGAGUAACACGUGGGUAACCUGCCUGUAAGACUGGGAUAACUCCGGGAAACCGGGGCUAAUACCGGAUGCUUGAUUGAACCGCAUGGUUCAAUCAUAAAAGGUGGCUUUUAGCUACCACUUACAGAUGGACCCGCGGCGCAUUAGCUAGUUGGUGAGGUAACGGCUCACCAAGGCGACGAUGCGUAGCCGACCUGAGAGGGUGAUCGGCCACACUGGGACUGAGACACGGCCCAGACUCCUACGGGAGGCAGCAGUAGGGAAUCUUCCGCAAUGGACGAAAGUCUGACGGAGCAACGCCGCGUGAGUGAUGAAGGUUUUCGGAUCGUAAAACUCUGUUGUUAGGGAAGAACAAGUACCGUUCGAAUAGGGCGGUACCUUGACGGUACCUAACCAGAAAGCCACGGCUAACUACGUGCCAGCAGCCGCGGUAAUACGUAGGUGGCAAGCGUUGUCCGGAAUUAUUGGGCGUAAAGCGCGCGCAGGCGGUUUCUUAAGUCUGAUGUGAAAGCCCCCGGCUCAACCGGGGAGGGUCAUUGGAAACUGGGGAACUUGAGUGCAGAAGAGGAGAGUGGAAUUCCACGUGUAGCGGUGAAAUGCGUAGAGAUGUGGAGGAACACCAGUGGCGAAGGCGACUCUCUGGUCUGUAACUGACGCUGAGGCGCGAAAGCGUGGGGAGCGAACAGGAUUAGAUACCCUGGUAGUCCACGCCGUAAACGAUGAGUGCUAAGUGUU
rnacentral:rRNA from 1 species